CACACUUCUCGCCACGCUCCAAUCCGCGGCUACCACGGGUAGGCGGAAUCAGUGACUAGUCUACGUUUUGGGAAGACGUACUUAAAGAGCUUGCUCUUAAAGUAGCAGUUGAGCACGGUAGACGUUCUGUUCCUUUCUCUCUAUAUAUCUGGGACGCCUUGUAUAGGGAGGAUGGGACAGAAGUUAGAUAAACCCAGUAAGGGUUGGUUAGCAUGUGAUCUAGUGGAAGACAGAGAAGGAGAAGAGAUGGUUAAGAAAGUGAGGAAGAUUGCUAAAGUAUGUGGAAUUACCGUACCUCCGUGCGGCAGAUUGUAGCCAGAGAGCUGGCGUAAGUUACUGACAGAGAAGAAAGGGAAGCUGUCGGACCAAGAUUUGGUUCGUACAGCAGAAGCCUGAUACCGAGUAGCAAGAGC